rnacentral:tRNA from 1 species
GCUUGGGAGCGCGUCUGCCUUGUAAGCACUAGGUCGCGGGUUCGAUUCCCGCCUCGAGCA